rnacentral:rRNA from 1 species
GAUGAACGCUGGCGGCGUGCCUAACACAUGCAAGUCGAGCGAUUCUCUUCGGAGAAGAGCGGCGGACGGGUGAGUAACGCGUGGGUAACCUGCCCUGUACACACGGAUAACAUACCGAAAGGUAUGCUAAUACGAGAUAAUAUGCUUUUAUCGCAUGGUAGAAGUAUCAAAGCUCCGGCGGUACAGGAUGGACCCGCGUCUGAUUAGCUAGUUGGUAAGGUAACGGCUUACCAAGGCGACGAUCAGUAGCCGACCUGAGAGGGUGAUCGGCCACAUUGGAACUGAGACACGGUCCAAACUCCUACGGGAGGCAGCAGUGGGGAAUAUUGCACAAUGGGCGAAAGCCUGAUGCAGCAACGCCGCGUGAGCGAUGAAGGCCUUCGGUCGUAAAGCUCUGUCCUCAAGGAAGAUAAUGACGGUACUUGAGGAGGAAGCCCCGGCUAACUACGUGCCAGCAGCCGCGGUAA